CUACCUACGGGGCGCAGCAGUGAGGAAUAUUGGUCAAUGGGAGAGAUCCUGAACCAGCCAAGCCGCGUGAGGGAAGACGGCCCUAUGGGUUGUAAACCUCUUUUGUCGGAGAACAAAACCCGGGACGAGUCCCGGACUGCGUGUAUCCGAAGAAAAAGCAUCGGCUAACUCCGUGCCAGCAGCCGCGGUAAUACGGAGGAUGCGAGCGUUAUCCGGAUUUAUUGGGUUUAAAGGGUGCGUAGGCGGUCCGUUAGGUCAGCGGUAGAAUUGCGGGGCUCAACGCCGUCGAGCCGUUGCAACUGGCG
rnacentral:rRNA from 1 species